UUUUUGUAAUUAAUAUAAAGUCUAAUCUGCCCCCUGAUAAAUUAUUAAAGGGCUGCCGUAUUUUGACUGUACAAAGGUAGCAUAAUCGUUUGUCUCUUAAUUGGUGACUUGUAUGAAAGAUUGGAUGAAAUAUAAACUGUCUCAUUAUAAUAAGUAAAAUUUAAUUUUUUAGUAAAAAAGCUAAAAUAAUUUUAAAAGACGAGAAGACCCUAUAGAGUUUAAUAAUUAUUUUUAUAUAAAAUAAAAUAUAAAAAUUUAAAUUUAAAUGAAAAUAAUUAUUUUGUUGGGGUGAUAGAAAAAUUAAAUUAACUUUUUUUAAUAGAUAUACAUUAAUAAGUGAUUAAAUGAUCCAUUAAUAAUGAUUAUAAGAAAAAAUUACCUUAGGGAUAACAGCGUAAUUUUUUUUUUUAGGCCAAAUAAGAAAAAGAGUUUGCGACCUCGAUGUUGGAUUAAGAUAAAAUUUAAAUGUAAAAGUUUAAAGUUUUGAUCUGUUCGAUCAUUAAAA
rnacentral:rRNA from 1 species